CAGGCCUAACACAUGCAAGUCGAACGAAGGCUUCGGCUCUUAGUGGCGCACGGGUGCUAACGCGUAUGCAACCUACCUUAAUCAGGGGGAUAGCCUCUCGAAAGAGAGUAUUAACACCGCAUAAAAUCACAGAACGGCAUCGUUUAAUGAUCAAAUAUUAAUAGGAUUAAGAUGGGCAUGCGUGUCAUUAGUUAGUUGGUGAGGUAACGGCUCACCAAGACCACGAUGACUAGGGGAUCUGAGAGGAUGGCCCCCCACACUGGUACUGAGACACGGACCAGACUCCUACGGGAGGCAGCAGUAAGGAAUAUUGGUCAAUGGGCGCACGUGAACCAGCCAUGCCGCGUGCAGGAAGACGGCCCUACGGUUGUAAACUGCUUUUGUACCGGAAUAACCCUGAUUCGUGAAUCAGGUUGAACGUACGGUAAGAAUAAGGAUCGGCUAACUCCGUGCCAGCAGCCGCGGUAAUACGGAGGAUCCAAGCGUUAUCCGGAUUUAUUGGGUUUAAAGGGUGCGUAGCGGCCCGUUAAGUCAGGGGUGAAAGACGGUAGCUCAACUAUCGCAGUGCCUUUGAUACUGACGGGCUUGAAUGAACUAGAGGUAGGCGGAAUGAGACAAGUAGCGGUGAAAUGCAUAGAUAUGUCUCAGAACACCGAUUGCGAAGGCAGCUUACUAUGGUUUAAUUGACGCUGAGGCACGAAAGCGUGGGGAUCAAACAGGAUUAGAUACCCUGGUAGUCCACGCCCUAAACGAUGAACACUCGAUGUUGGGCGAUAUACAGUCAGCGUCUAAGCGAAACGUUAAGUGUUCCACCUGGGGAGUACGCCCGCAAGKGAAAACUCAAAGGAAUUGACGGGGGCCCGCACAAGCGAGGGAGCAUGUGGUUUAAUUCGAUGAUACGCGAGGAACCUUACCCGGGCUUGAAAGUUAGUGAAUUAUCUAGAGAUAGAUGAGUGAGCAAUCACACGAAACUAGGGUGCUGCAUGGCUGUCGUCAGCUCGUGC
rnacentral:rRNA from 1 species